AUUAGAAAGGGCUACCGCUUCGGGGUAACGAGUGGCGUAAUCCACCACGGUAAGGAUAUAGCGCUUACCGGAGCGGCUAGGCUGGGCCAGGGGUCCUAUGAGGUCUACGGCUACUCUCGUGAAAGGUUCUUCUAUUAUGGGCAUAGAAACCAGUUUGGCUUUCGGGUGGUCUCCCUUUUUACCUAUCCUUUGACAUACCUCGC